rnacentral:rRNA from 1 species
GACGAACGCUGGCGGCGUGCUUAACACAUGCCAGUCGAACGGAAAGGCCCUGCUUUUGUGGGUUGCUCGAGUGGCGAGCGGGUGAGUAACACGUGAGUAACCUCCCCUUGACUUUGGGAUAACUUCAGGAAACUGGGGCUCAUACCGCAUAGGAGCUCCUGCUGCACGGUGGUGGUUGGAAAGUUUCGGCGGUUGUGGAUGGACUCGCGGGUUAUCAGCUUGUUGGUGGAGUAGUGGCUUACCAACGCUUCGACGGAUAGCAGGCCUGGGAGGGUGACCGGCGACAUGGGGACUGAGAUACGGCGCAGACUCCUACGGGAGGCAGCAGGGGGGAAUAUUGCACAAUGGGCGGAAGCCUGAUGCAGCAACGCGGCGUGCGGGAUGACGUCCUUCGGGUUGUAAACCGCUUUCGAAUGUGACGAAGCGUGAGUGACGGUAACGGGUAAAGAAGCACCGGCUAACUACGUG